GUGCCAGCAGCCGCGGUAAUACGUAGGUGGCAAGCGUUGUCCGGAAUUAUUGGGCGUAAAGCGCGCGCAGGCGGUCUCUUAAGUCUGAUGUGAAAGCCCACGGCUCAACCGUGGAGGGUCAUUGGAAACUGGGGGACUUGAGUGCAGAAGAGGAAAGUGGAAUUCCACGUGUAGCGGUGAAAUGCGUAGAGAUGUGGAGGAACACCAGUGGCGAAGGCGACUUUCUGGUCUGUAACUGACGCUGAGGCGCGAAAGCGUGGGGAGCAAACAGGAUUAGAUACCCUGGUAGUCCACGCCGUAAACGAUGAGUGCUAAGUGUUAGGGGGUUUCCGCCCCUUAGUGCUGCAGCUAACGCAUUAAGCACUCCGCCUGGGGAGUACGGCCGCAAGGCUGAAACUCAAAGGAAUUGACGGGG
rnacentral:rRNA from 1 species